rnacentral:rRNA from 1 species
UACGGAGGGUGCAAGCGUUAUCCGGAUUUAUUGGGUUUAAAGGGUCCGUAGGCGGAUCUGUAAGUCGGUGGUGAAAUCUCACAGCUUAACUGUGAAACUGCCAUUGAUACUGCAGGUCUUGAGUGUUAUUGAAGUAGCUGGAAUAAGUAGUGUAGCGGUGAAAUGCAUAGAUAUUACUUAGAACACCAAUUGCGAAGGCAGGUUACUAAGCAACAACUGACGCUGAUGGACGAAAGCGUGGGGAGCGAACAGG